rnacentral:rRNA from 1 species
AGCAGCCGCGGUAAUUCCAGCUCCAAUAGCGUAUAUUAAAGUUGUUGCAGUUAAAAAAGACUCGUAGUUGAAUUUCGGAAUCGACGGAUUGGUCGCGCCUUCGGUGUGUACUGGUCUUGCCGGUUUCUCCCUUCUGACGAACCACGAUGUCAUUAAUUUGGUGUCGUGGGGAAUCAGGACUGUUACUUUGAAAAAAUUAGAGUGUUUAAAGCAGGCAUUAGCUUGAAUACAUUAGCAUGGAAUAAUGAAAUAGGACGUUUGAUCUUAUUUUGUUGGUUUCUAGGAUCGACGUAAUGAUUAAUAGGGAUAGUUGGGGGCAUUAGUAUUCAAUUGUCAGAGGUGAAAUUCUUGGAUUUAUUGAAGACUAACUACUGCGAAAGCAAUUUGCCAAGGAUGU